rnacentral:rRNA from 1 species
UAGCGGGGGGGGGUAAGCGUUGUUUCGGUGAAUUACUGGGCGUAAAGGGCUCGUAGGCGGCCAACUAAGUCAGACGAUGAAAUCCCUCAGCUUAACUGGGGAACUGCGUCUGAUUACUGGAUGGCUUGGAUUCGGGAGAGGAAGUAGCGGAAUUCCAGGUGUAGCGGUAGAAAUGCGUAGAUAUCUGGAGGAACACCGGUGGCCGAAGGGCGGCAAUUCGUGGACCGAUAUUGACGCUGAGGAGCGAAAGCCAGGGGAGACAAACGGGG